rnacentral:rRNA from 1 species
AGUGAACGCUGGCGGUAGGCCUAACACAUGCAAGUCGAACGGCAGCACAGUAAGAGCUUGCUCUUACGGGUGGCGAGUGGCGGACGGGUGAGGAAUACAUCGGAAUCUACUUUUUCGUGGGGGAUAACGUAGGGAAACUUACGCUAAUACCGCAUACGACCUACGGGUGAAAGCAGGGGAUCUUCGGACCUUGCGCGAUUGAAUGAGCCGAUGUCGAAUUAGCUAGUUGGCGGGGUAAAGGCCCACCAAGGCGACGAUCCGUAGCUGGUCUGAGAGGAUGAUCAGCCACACUGGAACUGAGACACGGUCCAGACUCCUACGGGAGGCAGCAGUGGGGAAUAUUGGACAAUGGGCGCAAGCCUGAUCCAGCCAUACCGCGUGGGUGAAGAAGGCCUUCGGGUUGUAAAGCCCCUUUGUUGGGAAAGAAAAGCAGCAGGUUAAUACCCCGCUGUUCUGACGGUACCCAAAGAAUAAGCACCGGCUAACUUCGUG